CAUGAUUUAGCCAGUACCCCCAAGCAAAGAGACCUUUAGUUUGAUACCCCGAAACCAGGUGAGCUACCCCGAGACAGCCUAUGUUAAUUUAGGGCUAACCCGUCUCUGUGGCAAAAGAGUGGGAAGAGCUCCGGGUAGAAGUGAAAGACCUACCGAACCUGGUGAUAGCUGGUUGACUGAGAGAUGGAUAGAAGUUCAGCCUCGCACACCCCAAACCAAAAAAUAUUAUUAUCAAGAUAUUUAGGGAUACGUACGAGAGUUAGUUAAAAGGGGUACAGCCCUUUUAACAAAGGAUACAACCUUUACAGGAGGAUAAAGAUCAUAAUGUAUAAGAUAUACUGUUCUAGUGGGCCUGAAAGCAGCCACCUAUACAGAAAGCGUUAAAGCUCGGACAGAAAGAAAUUUAUUAUUUAGAUAAAAAAUCUUAUUCCCCUAACUAUAUCAGACCAACCCAUGCCUACAUGGAAGAGAUUAUGCUAAAAUGAGUAAUAAGAAGACCCGCUCUUCUCCCAGCACAAGUGUAAGCCAGAUCGGACUAGCCACUGGAAUUUAACGAACCCAACCCAAGAGGGUAAUGUGAUCAACAAAAAACUCAAGAAGACCUCACAUUAAACAAUCGUUAACCCCACACUGGAGUGCUAUUUUAAGGGAAAGACUAAAAGAAGGGGAAGGAACUCGGCAAACACAAGCCUCGCCUGUUUACCAAAAACAUCGCCUCCUGCAACUGAACUGAGUAUAGGAGGUCCAGCCUGCCCAGUGACUACGGGUUCAACGGCCGCGGUAUCUUGACCGUGCAAAGGUAGCGCAAUCACUUGUCUCUUAAAUAGAGACCUGUAUGAAUGGCUAGACGAGGGCUUAACUGUCUCCCCCCUCCAGUCAGUGAAAUUGAUCUAUCCGUGCAGAAGCGGGUAUAAAUAUACAAGACGAGAAGACCCUUUGGAGCUUAAGGUACAAAUUCAACCACGUUAAACAACUCUAUAAGAAGCAAGAACUUAGUGAUACUGAAAUUUUACCUUCGGUUGGGGCGACCGCGGAGGAAAAACAAGCCUCCGAGUGGACUGGGCCAAACCCCUGAAGCUAAUAGAGACAUCUAUAGGACACAGAAUAUCUGACCAAAAAUGAUCCGGCUAAAAAGCCGAUCAACGAACCAAGUUACCCAAGGGAUAACAGCGCAAUCCCCUCCCAGAGCCCAUAUCUACGAGGGGGUUUACGACCUCGAUGUUGGAUCAGGACAUCCUAAUGGUGCAGCCGCUAUUAAGGGUUCGUUUGUUCAACGAUUAAAGUCC
rnacentral:rRNA from 1 species